GUUGAACGCUGGCGGCGUGCCUUACACAUGCAAGUCGAACGACCGGACGGGUGCUUGCCUCUGCUGGCGAGUGGCGCAGACGGGUGUAAUACACGGGGACAUGCCCUGUAGUGGGCGGUGACCCGGCCAAGACCGGGUUGAUACCGCCUGAGAAUCACUGAUGCAAGCGGGGUCCCUUCUGGCCUAGCGCUAUGCGGUUGCCCGUUGACUGAUUCGCUAGUUGGUGGGGUAAAGGCAUACCAAGGCGACGAUGAGUAGCCGAUCUGAGAGGACGACCAGCCACACUGGGACUGAGACACGGCCCAGACUCCUACGGGAGGCAGCAGUAGGGAAUUUUGGACAAUGGGCGAAAGCCUGAUCCAGCAAUGCCGCGUGUGUGAAGAAGGCCUUCGGGUUGUAAAGCACUUUUGUCAGGAAAGAAAACCUUGGCUCUAAUACAGGCGGGUGAUGACGGUACCGGAACAAUAAGCCCCGGCUAACUACGUG
rnacentral:rRNA from 1 species